GAUGAACGCUGGCGGCGUGCCUAAUACAUGCAAGUCGAGCGAACGGACGAUAAGCUUGCUUCUUUGAUGUUAGCGGCGGACGGGUGAGUAACACGUGGAUAACCUACCUAUAAGACUGGGAUAACUUCGGGAAACCGGAGCUAAUACCGGAUGAUAUUUUGAACCGCAUGGUUCAAAAGUGAAAGACGGUCUUGCUGUCACUUAUAGAUGGAUCCGCGCUGCAUUAGCUAGUUGGUAAGGUAACGGCUUACCAAGGCAACGAUGCAUAGCCGACCUGAGAGGGUGAUCGGCCACACUGGAACUGAGACACGGUCCAGACUCCUACGGGAGGCAGCAGUAGGGAAUCUUCCGCAAUGGGCGAAAGCCUGACGGAGCAACGCCGCGUGAGUGAUGAAGGUCUUCGGAUCGUAAAACUCUGUUAUUAGGGAAGAACAUAUGUGUAAGUAACUGUGCACAUCUUGACGGUACCUAAUCAGAAAGCCACGGCUAACUACGUG
rnacentral:rRNA from 1 species